GGCCCGCCCUACGACUGCCUGUACUGUGGUGAGUCGUUUGACAGCUCGCGGGGUUUGCGGCAGCACCGGCGGGCCCACGUCGGCGAGCAGCUGCUCCCACUGUGACAAGAGAGCAUGGGGGCUGUGGGAGCACCAGCAGAUACACACAGAGACCCUAUGUGUGCGCUGAGUGUGGCAAGAGUUUGACCCGCAUGUCCAGCCUGUGGCAGCACCGGCGUAUCCACAGCGGUGAGCUAACAUCUGCAGUUCCUUGUUUUUAAACCAUUCUGGGUUACCAUCUCCGCACCUUCGCCAAAGCCUCCACAUCAGUCCUGUAAUGGAGUGACCAGAACUGUAUGCAAUACUCCAAAUGCUACCUGAACAAUGUCCCUUAAAGCUGCACAUAUACAUUCCU